rnacentral:tRNA from 1 species
GGCGUGGCCUCAAAAGCGGCUUUGCAAGCCGGGGGUUGGCGGUUCGAGCCCGCUCGUCUCCA